GUCAGGAUGGCCGAGCGGGUCAACGCCAGACUCAAGGUUAGACACCUUCCUGAGUUAAGGGACUUCUGGUCUCCAAAUGGAGGCGUGGGUUCAAAUCCCACUCCUGACA
rnacentral:tRNA from 1 species